CCGGUAAAAAACCUUAAUUCAUAUAUUUGUAAGAUCAAAAGCUCCUUUCCCGUCAAAGCUCUGCCCUCAAAGACAAAGCCCCUCACAGUUCUAGGGUUUUUGCAGCAGAAGAAAUGGGAAAAGGAACUGGAAGCUUUGGAAAAAGAAGAAAUAAGACUCACACUCUCUGCGUCCGAUGCGGACGUCGGAGCUUCCAUCUCCAGAAGAGCCGUUGCGGUGCUUGUGCUUACCCUGCCAGCCGCAUCCGAAAAUGUACACAAGCAACUCCGAGGAAGGCGGCAGCCGUUGCUGCUUCGUAAGUUAAUCGUUGUGUUUUCCUUUCGAGAUUCCUAUGAACACAAGUUUUGUUUUCUUAUCAACUGUGUUACAUUUUUGUUUCAAGUAAUAUUUACAAAAGGAAAGUCUCGUAUCAUUUUGUGAGUUAGUGAUAUUGUCAUCCAUAGUUGAUUUUAAGCUACUCAAAUUGCUAAAUGUUUCGUUUGCUAUUUAUUGCUGUUGAGGUGUCA